UCUACGGGGGGCUGCAGUGGGGAAUAUUGGGCAAUGGGCGCAAGCCUGACCCAGCAACGCCGCGUGAAGGAAGAAGGCUUUCGGGUUGUAAACUUCUUUUAAGAGGGAAGAGCAGAAGACGGUACCUCUUGAAUAAGCCACGGCUAACUACGUGCCAGCAGCCGCGGUAAUACGUAGGUGGCAAGCGUUGUCCGGAUUUACUGGGUGUAAAGGGUGCGUAGGCGGGCUUUUAAGUAUGCGGUAAAAAUUCGGGGCUCAACCCCGUCCGGCCGUUGAGACUGGGGGCCUUGAGUGGGCGAGAGGAAGGCGGAAUGCGUGGUGUAGCGGUGAAAUGCAUAGAUAUCACGCAGAACCCCGAUUGCGAAGGCAGCCUUCCGGCGCCCUACUGACGCUGAGGCACGAAAGUGCGGGGAUCGAACAGGAUUAGAUACCCGGGUAGUC
rnacentral:rRNA from 1 species